AAUGUCCACACACCCACACUAUACACCCCUCUUUACUCCACCCCUCCCUCCUUUGUAAUUGAAAUUGAGAGUCCCUUCACCUUUAAAAAGAAAAUAGAUGAGCGGUCUGCACCCGCAAGGCGGUGCUCUUGUUUCUUGUUUCCGCUCAAUAACUCAAGCAAUUAUCACUGGAUCUUCACCUGGUCCAAUUUUCAUGAAAAUGCGUUUAGCCAUAAAAUUUUGACCCCCUUGACCUGGAACUUAGGGUCCACGUUUAGGUUUCAAAAUCUGCGAUUAUGUUUCGAAAAAUGCUCACAACUUCUAUCAAAGCGUUUUUCGGGGGCAUAUGUCAUCCUAUGGAGACAGCUCUUGUUAAUGUUUUUAAUUUAAUUUGGGUAUUGGACAUGCUGAGCGAAUAUGUUUUUGAAUUAAUCAGUAUCAUGAUGGGAGAAUGAAGUUUUAAAUAAAAUUUGUAUUAGUUUUUGUCUUUUUGAAAUUAUAUGUUUAUAUUUUAAAGAUUUAUUUAAAUAUUUAACCAUGUUUGAUAUUUUAAAGAUUUAUUAGAAUGUUUUCAUAUGUGGCAUAAGAUUUUGAAACAAAUUGUGAACAUGAUAUAUAUGUUGGCGUUAGCAAUUUUGAAUGCUAAGGUUGAAAGCCAAAACUGUUAUUGUUGCGCAGAUGUUUGUUAGUCCCAUACCAGUGAACCGGAAGGGACUAUAGGUUUAACACUGUCCGUCUAUGUGUUCUUCAGUCCGCCCAUCCAUGUGUCCAUGUGUCACUUAAAUUCUGGAUCCUGCAAUAUCUCAAUAGACUCUCACUCAAAUUGUGGUUGCUAUGGUUACAGAAGUAAUUGAAACAAAAAUCUGCACCUUGUCAUAACUUUAGGCACUUAAGCGAUGUUAAUUUAACUUAUGGAGAUCCUGUGCUGUGCUUGCAUAAACCAGUUUGGGGACUUUUGUUUAUUCUGUGACAAAGCUCGUGUUUAUUAUGUGUUUAUACAAUAUUUUACUUAACCCAUUCCUGCUCAGAAGCAGAGUGAAAAUGUCUAUGUGCAAACAGAAUAACACUAGAACAGCCUGCGAGUAACUCGCUGUCUGUACAGGUUUAUGCUGUUUGCUGCACAACAGUAGCUAAGGGUUUGAAACUUAGCCUUUACAAUUGUAGUAAGAAUGGUCUUUAAUUAAAUUUAACUUUUUGAGGGACUACAAAUGCCUCAAAAUACGUAUCCGACUGGUAGAGGGUUAACCUAUGAAAAUAUUUGUAUACCCUUGGCAUUUACCGUUACUGUUUUUGAGAGGUUUAAAGUAAUUGGCCUGUCCAUUUUUCUGUCUGUCAUGUGAUACAAAUUUAACAUUAACAUUGUUUCCUAAAAAGCCUGACACUUUCGUGGAUGUUAUCUAUGAACAAUCUCAACACAGUUCAAAUCUUCUUUGUUAACCCAAGAUGGCAUGUUUUCUCUAACAUCAACACCUCUUGCUACAAAAGCUUAAAACUUGCAUAGGGCUUUAUCUAUGACUCAGACUUGUUCAAAUAGGCUUAUGAGUUGAAAAUGAAAAGGCUUCUACAGGGGGCAUCAGCAAUAUGAAUAAUUUUGUAUUAAUCUAUACUUUUCUAGUCAGAUAUGCUUUAUUUAUCUGAUGUUUAUUUGAAUUGUUAUGCUGUACAAGCAUUUUGAAAAGUAAUAUAUAAUUUUGAGUAUGCAUGUUGAUCAUUUAUAUAGAAUAUUAAAUAGUAGUUUUUUGUUCUGAGAACUUUGAGCAAAUGAGUUUUACAUGAACAUUUAGUCAGGCUUCAAGUAUAAUUGGCAAGCAAUCACUAGUAGCAUGAACGGAAUCAUGUAUUUUAAUUAAGAAUUUAAAAACUAAUUUCUGCAUCUUAUCGGUGUAUGACCUGUGUGGAAAAUUAUGCCUACCUUGAAUAGACAGCAUUAAUGCAUAAAUAAGACGUAAUUUUUCAGACAGUAAAUGCACCCAUAAAAGCUGAAAAUUACUAUUCAAUUCUCAUAUUACAACACCAUGUGUAAACUCUGUACAUCAAACAGUUGUAUGGGUAUCAACUGGCUAGUUAAAAUUUGCCAACAGAGAAGUGAAAUGUUUUGCUGAUUAUGUGUUCAUACAAGAAUUGUGAUAUUCCUUGAACAAUUUUCAGUUUACUUUGUGUUCAAAACAAAGAUCCAUGUAUUAUGGUUCUUUGCUUGUCUCUGUUUAUUAAUGUGUUUUUAAAUUGGCUUUAUUUUGCAAUUGUUUUUUUUUUCAUGAGUAAUAUUUACAAAACAUCGACUUUUUAAAUAUUAUCCUGUUAAAUUUGUAUAUCUUGUAUUUUAUACAUGAAUGAAACAUGAUGCUGAUAUAUGACAGACAACAUGUUAGUAAUGAUCCUUGUUGUACAAUUUUAUUUUACUUAGUUGGCAUAUUUUAUUUUAUAGUGUAAAGGUUAUUGUUCAGUCUGCACAUUUUGUGUUACUUCAGUGUAAAGUUAAUUGUUCAAUUUCAGUGUAAAGUUAAUUGUUCAGCCCGCACAUUGUGUGUUACAGUGUAAAGGUAAUUGUUCAGUCCGCACAUUUUGUGUUACUUCAGUGUUAAGAUAAUUGGUCAGUCCACGCAUUUUGUGUUACUUCAGUGUAAAGGUCAUUGUUCAGUCCGCACAUUUUGUGUUACUGCAGUGUAAAGGUCAUUGUUCAGUCCACACAUUUUGUGUUACUGCAGUGUAAAGGUCAUUGUUCAGUCUGCACAUUUUGUGUUACUUCAGUGUAAAGGUCAUUGUUCAGUCUGCACAUUUUGUAUUACUUCAGUGUAAAGGUCAUUGUUCAGUCUGCACAUUUUGUGUUACUGCAGUGUAAAGGUCAUUGUUCAGUCCACACAUUUUGUGUUACUGCAGUGUAAAGGUCAUUGUUCAGUCCACACAUUUUGUGUUACUUCAGUGUAAAGGUCAUUGUUCAGUCUGCACAUUUCGUGUUGCUUUUGUGUAAAGGUCAUUGAUUUCCGUGUUAAAUAAGAUUGUUGAAUGAAAAUAAUCAAAUUACCGAUAAUGAUUAUCACUUGCACAUUUUUGCAAUUCUGAAUUAAAAAACCUUUUACUGUUAAAAAAGAUGCAUACUAUAUCCUGAAAAAUACAGUAUAAUUAUAUUGUUUCAAAAGUUUUUUUAGAACACUUUCAUUUUAUUUGCUUCGAUACAUGCAAGCAUUAUUGUUGUCCCCCUUGUUUGUAACAGUGGUUUAUAGGCUUAACUUUUUGUUCAUUGUGAACUAAGUAUGAAGGGUGGAAGCUAAAGUUUACCUGGAUAUAUAUAUGUUACAUGUAAUGUAAAUGUAAUAAAUUGUGGUGCAAAUAUUAUAUAUUGCUUUGCUUUAUUAGCGUAAUUAAAAUAUUGUUUGAUAUGUAAGGAACAGUUUUUUUUAAAUAUGUAUUUUUUAAAGAUCUGCAUCUUUAUAACAUAUGACCCAAGUUAUGCGAAAAUUGGUCUUCUGCCAUGAGUUGCCAGUAUAGCUCCAGACCUGCGUGUAUUGUUGCACUAUUUUGCUGAGUUUAGUAGUUCGCUAUAGAGUCACAUUGAGGUCUUAUUAGCAUACAGAAUAGCUCCAGACCUGCGUGUAUUGUUGCACUAUUUGGCCGAGUUUAGUAGUUCGCUAUAGAGUCACAUUGAGGUCUUAUUAGCAUACAGAAUAGCUCCAGACCUGCGUGUAUUGUUGCACUAUUUGGCCGAGUUUAGUUGUUCACUAUAGAGUCACAUUGAGGUCUUAUUAGCAUACAGAAUAGCUCCAGACCUGCGUGUAUUGUUGCACUAUUUGGUCGAGUUUAGUUGUUCGCUAUAGAGUCACAUUGAGGUCUUAUUAGCAUACAGAAUAGCUCCAGACCUGCGUGUAUUGUUGCACUAUUUGGUCGAGUUUAGUUGUUCGCUAUAGAGUCACAUUGAGGUCUUAUUAGCAUACAGAAUAGCUCCUGACCUGACUGGUCAAAGGCAUAUGUUGGUCUUGAGCUACGCCAGCUGCAAAUGGCAUAAGACCCAUUUUUGUGUUGCACCUGUAAUAUGAUGAAUUACUGGUAAGUGCCCUACUUUUGCUGAUACUUUAUUUUAUAUUAUACUGUCUUGUUUUUGAUGACCUUGAAACUUACACAAGUAUAUGAUUUGAUGUGUUUGAUAGAUAUUAACGAAAUAUGUUUUUAAACAUACUUAAAUUUGUAUGUGAUUAUAUAUUUCAAUAUCUGACAUUAUAUACAUUCGCAUUUCUUACAAAUAUUUUACCAUUAUUUUGAAAGUUACGAUUAUGUCCACACAGUCUUGCAAAUGAGCAAAUUCACAAGUUGUAUACAUACAUUGCUUAUUAUUGCAGUUGAUGUAAUGUUGUUAUGGUAUUUUGAUAAAUUCUAGUCGCAAAAUACACUUAUUGAACACUG